rnacentral:lncRNA from 1 species
UUCUCAAUAAACAUAGAUGAUAGAACUGUUGAUUCAUUAUUCCAAUUCCAUAAAGGCAUUUCAUUACACGGGAAAAAAUGAAAAUCUAACCAAAAGCACACAGAACUUAAAAUAUAGGAAAUCUUGUAGUAGAAUUAAGAUAAAUAGACACUAUUUUGGAAUUUUACGUCUGACCAUACUGUCAAUAUAGCAAACUAUUAAUACUCUUCAACUCCAGCAAGAAAGUAAUCUAUCAAGGAAUCC